GAUACAAUCAUAAGGGAGUAACUAGCAGAAAUAUUCUGCGGCAAUAUCGUCAGCAAGAAGCCAAUCCGGUAUUGUCUUAAAUAGUGAGACUUAUGUAUGUUCA
rnacentral:misc_RNA from 1 species